rnacentral:rRNA from 1 species
GGUUGUAGGACACUCUGUACGGAGUUACAAAGGACGACAUUAGACGAAUCAUCUGGAAAGAUGAAUCAAAGAAGGUAAUAAUCCUGUAGUCGAAAAUGUUGUCUCUCUUGAGUGGAUCCUGAGUACGACGGAGCACGUGAAAUUCCGUCGGAAUCUGGGAGGACCAUCUCCUAAGGCUAAAUACUCUCUAGUGACCGAUAGUGAACCAGUACCGUGAGGGAAAGGUGAAAAGCACCCCGGAAGGGGAGUGAAAUAGAACCUGAAACCGUGUGCUUACAAGUAGUCAGAGCCCGUUAAUGGGUGAUGGCGUGCCUUUUGUAGAAUGAACCGGCGAGUUACGAUUUGAUGCAAGGUUAAGCAGUAAAUGUGGAGCCGUAGCGAAAGCGAGUCUGAAUAGGGCGUUUAGUAUUUGGUCGUAGACCCGAAACCAGGUGAUCUACCCUUGGUCAGGUUGAAGUUCAGGUAACACUGAAUGGAGGACCGAACCGACUUACGUUGAAAAGUGAGCGGAUGAACUGAGGGUAGCGGAGAAAUUCCAAUCGAACCUGGAGAUAGCUGGUUCUCUCCGAAAUAGCUUUAGGGCUAGCCUCAAGUGAUGAUUAUUGGAGGUAGAGCACUGUUUGGACGAGGGGCCCCUCUCGGGUUACCGAAUUCAGACAAACUCCGAAUGCCAAUUAAUUUAACUUGGGAGUCAGAACAUGGGUGAUAAGGUCCGUGUUCGAAAGGGAAACAGCCCAGACCACCAGCUAAGGUCCCAAAAUAUAUGUUAAGUGGAAAAGGAUGUGGCGUUGCCCAGACAACUAGGAUGUUGGCUUAGAAGCAGCCAUCAUUUAAAGAGUGCGUAAUAGCUCACUAGUCGAGUGACACUGCGCCGAAAAUGUACCGGGGCUAAACAUAUUACCGAAGCUGUGGAUUGUCCUUUGGACAAUGGUAGGAGAGCGUUCUAAGGGCGUUGAAGCAUGAUCGUAAGGACAUGUGGAGCGCUUAGAAGUGAGAAUGCCGGUGUGAGUAGCGAAAGACGGGUGAGAAUCCCGUCCACCGAUUGACUAAGGUUUCCAGAGGAAGGCUCGUCCGCUCUGGGUUAGUCGGGUCCUAAGCUGAGGCCGACAGGCGUAGGCGAUGGAUAACAGGUUGAUAUUCCUGUACCACCUAUAAUCGUUUUAAUCGAUGGGGGGACGCAGUAGGAUAGGCGAAGCGUGCGAUUGGAUUGCACGUCUAAGCAGUAAGGCUGAGUAUUAGGCAAAUCCGGUACUCGUUAAGGCUGAGCUGUGAUGGGGAGAAGACAUUG